rnacentral:tRNA from 1 species
GCCGGCAUAGCUUAGUUGGUAGAGCAACUGAUUUGUAAUCAGUAGGUUGAAGGUUCAACUCCUUCUGUCGGCACCA